rnacentral:rRNA from 1 species
AGUCGAACGCAGCACGACUUUCGGUCUGGUGGCGAGUGCAAGUAAUACCCGGGUGAGUAAUGUAUCGGAACGCAGCUCUAGUAGCGGGGAUAACUACGCGAAAGUUGCGCCAUCGCAUACGCCCUUCGGGGAAAGCAGGGACCUUCGGGCCUCGCACUAUUAGAGCGGCUGAUAUCGGAUUAAAUAGUUGGUGGGGUAACGGCUCACCAAGGCGACGAUCCGGCUGGUUUGAGAGGACGAAUUUAGCCACACUGCCGACUGAGACACGGCCCAGACUCCCACGCGAGGCAGCAGUGGGGAAUUUUUGGACAAUGGUAGAACCCGAUCCAGCCAUCCCGCGUGUGCGAUGAAGGCCUUCGUUGUAAAGCACUUUGGCAGGAAAGAAACGGCACGGGAUAAUACCCCGUGCAACUGACGGUACCUGCAGAACAAGACCGCUAACUACGCCAGCAGCCGCGGUAAUACGUAGGUAAGCGUUAACUGGAAUUGACGAAGUAAAGCGUGCGCAGGCGGUUCGAAAGAAAGAUGUGAAAUCAGAGCUUAACUUUGGAACUGCAUUUUUAACUGUCGAGCUAGAGAGUGUGUCAGAGGGAGGUGGAAUUGGCGUAGCAGAAUGUGUAGAUAUGGAGGAACACCGAUGGCACAGCCUCCUGGGAUAACACUGAUGCUCAUGCACGAAAGCGUGGGAGCAAACAGGAUUAGAUACUCCAGAAGCCCGCCCUAAACGAUGUCAACUAGUCUUUCGUUGGGGCCUUCGGGCCUUGCAGCGCAGCUAACGCGUGAAGUUGACCGCCUGGGGAGUACGGUCGCAAGAUUAAAACUCAAAGGAAUUGACGGGGACCCGCACAAGCGGUGGAUGAUGAUUAAUUCGAUGCAACGCGAAAAACCUUACCUACCCUUGACAUGUCUGGAAUCCCGAAGAGAUUUGGGAGUGCUCGCAAGAGAACCGGAACACAGGUGCUGCAUGGCUGUCGUCAGCUCGUGUCGUGAGAUGUUGGGUUAAGUCCCGCAACGAGCGCAACCUCCCUUGUCAUUAGUUGCUAUGAAAGGCACUCUAAUGAGACUGCCGGUGACAAACCGAGGAAGGUGGGGGAUGACGUCAAGUCCUCAUGGCCCUUAUGGGUAGGGCUUCACACGUCAUACAAUGACGACAGAGGGUCGCCAACCCGCGAGGGGAGCCAACUUGCAGAAACCCGAUCGUAGUCCGGAUCGCAGUCUGCAACUCGACUGCGUGAAGUCGGAAUCGCUAGUAAUCGCGGAUCAGCAUGUCGCGGUGAAUACGUUCCCGGGUCUUGUACACACCGCCCGUCACACCAUGGGAGUGGGUUUACCAGAAGUAGUUAGCCUAACCGUAAGGGGAGGCGAUUACCACGGUAGGAUUCAUGACUGGGUGAAGUCGUAACAAGGUAA